ensembl:lncRNA
CUAGUUUAUAACUUCGGUGGCAUUGAAGCUGUGUUACGUUGCUCAGCGGUAGAUACGCACCGUUCCACCUACCACCCCAUGCAUCAGAUAUUUUGGAGAUUUUCCAUCACCACCAUGGCUGCCGCUUCUUGCUAAUGCACCAACUCAAUCCACAUUCUCGGGCGCACGACUGCAUUUUUGCGAGACGGAUUAAUUUCCCAACGCCCAGGCGGCCGGCAGACGAACCUUGUUUAACUGACCCUGGCAUUAUGACUGAACAGGGCCCAACUCUGCUUGGCUCUCUGACUUGAAUGGAAACAAUACAGCAACUUAGAGAAAGAAGCAACAACUCCACGUGCAAGUUUGUCACUGUACGACCAACCCAGGAUGUAAACCACUGUACACCACAACACACACACACUUCCAAAGCCAUCUGAUUGUGUUGUGUCUAUGUCUUUUCUCCUCCGUGGUGGAUAAGGGAUGGGGAAUGAAGGUGGGACUCUGGCCUGUGCUAUGAGAACAGUCAUGUGACAUGACAAGGGCAAGACAAAAAAAAAAAACAUGACAGAUCCAAAAAGAACAGGUAUAAAGACAUUGUAAACAAUAGAUAUAGAAUCUAAUAAUUCCAAUUAUAUGGUUGUAACUUGCUCGGAACAUCACAUUCUCCAUAAAACAAUGUUAAUAGUAUGAAAU